UAAGGGGGUCGUAAAGUUAAAAUAAACAAAAUGCGCGGCUUGAAAAUAAUAUAAAGCAGAGUUUUAGUGGCGAAAUCCAAUCCAAGUCAAUUAUAAGAGCAUCUCCAUGAGUAGUCUCUCACAUAGUUUUUCAUUAACUAAAAAAUAUAAAAUAAUAAUAAAGUAGGAGAGAGAUAUGAGAGAGAUUGAGAAUAGUUUCUCUGCAGAGAAACUUUAGAAUAAUGAUUGAGAGACUAUGUGUAUAUAUGUGUGUUUAUUAUUGGACAUAAACUAAAUCAUAGUAAAAU
rnacentral:sRNA from 1 species